AGAGUUUGAUCCUGGCUCAGGAUGAACGCUGGCGGCGUGCCUAACACAUGCAAGUCGGACGGUUAAGCCGGCUUCGGCCGGGAAUACAGUGGCGAACGGGUGAGUAACACGUGACCAACCUGCCCCCCGCUCCGGGACAACCGCUGGAAACGGCGGCUAAUACCGGGUACUCCGCGGGCCCCGCAUGGGGCCGGCGGGAAAACCCAGGCGGCGGGGGAUGGGGUCGCGGCCCAUUAGGUAGUAGGCGGGGUAGAGGCCCACCUAGCCGACGAUGGGUAGCCGGACUGAGAGGUCGACCGGCCACAUUGGGACUGAGAUACGGCCCAGACUCCUACGGGAGGCAGCAGUGGGGAAUUUUGCGCAAUGGGGGAAACCCUGACGCAGCAACGCCGCGUGCGGGACGAAGGCCCUCGGGCUGUAAACCGCUUUCAGCAGGGAAGACAUCGACGGUACCUGCAGAAGAAGCUCCGGCUAACUACGUGCCAGCAGCCGCGGUAAUACGUAGGGGGCGAGCGUUAUCCGGAUUCAUUGGGCGUAAAGCGCGCGUAGGCGGCCGCCUAAGCGGAACCUCUAACCCCGGGGCUCAACCUCGGGCCGGGUUCCGGACUGGGCGGCUCGAGUGCGGUAGAGGAGAGCGGAAUUCCCGGUGUAGCGGUGGAAUGCGCAGAUAUCGGGAAGAACACCGAUGGCGAAGGCAGCUCUCUGGGCCGUCACUGACGCUGAGGCGCGAAAGCUGGGGGAGCGAACAGGAUUAGAUACCCUGGUAGUCCCAGCCGUAAACGAUGGACGCUAGGUGUGGGGGGACCUGCCCUCCGUGCCGCAGCCAACGCAUUAAGCGUCCCGCCUGGGGAGUACGGCCGCAAGGCUAAAACUCAAAGGAAUUGACGGGGGCCCGCACAAGCAGCGGAGGAACAUGUGGUUUAAUUCGAUGAUACGCGAGGAACCUUACCCGGGCUCAAACGGCAGAUGACGGAGGAAGAGACUUCUCCUCCCGCAAGGGCAUCUGCCGAGGUGCUGCAUGGCUGUCGUCAGCUCGUGCCGUGAGGUGUCGGCUUAAGUGCCAUAACGAGCGCAACCCCUGCUGACAGUUGCUAACAGGUUAAGCUGAGGACUCUGUCAGGACUGCCGGCGCAAGCCGAGAGGAAGGCGGGGAUGACGUCAAAUCAGCACGGCCCUUACGUCCGGGGCGACACACGUGUUACAAUGGCCGGUACAGCGGGAAGCCAGGCGGCGACGCCGAGCGGAACCCGAAAGCCGGUCUCAGUUCGGAUCGGAGUCUGCAACCCGACUCCGUGAAGCUGGAUUCGCUAGUAAUCGCGCAUCAGCCAUGGCGCGGUGAAUACGUUCCCGGGCCUUGCACACACCGCCCGUCAAG
rnacentral:rRNA from 1 species